AUGGCGGCCGUAGCAGGAGCUCUUCUCCCGCCGCUGCUCCCGACGCCGCCCAGGAGCGAGAUGCUGCCGAUCCUCCCGACGCCGCCCAAGAGCAAGAUGCUGCCUCUGUUGCCGACGCCGCACGGUGUCGUCCUCACCAUGCUGGUGUCCGCCAUGCAUGGCCGCGCCGACUUCGUCCAGAGGUGGGACUGGAACAAGACGGGCAAAAAGCCAUGCAGCUCCAUCUGCUCCUCCUCCUCCUCGUCGUCAUCGUCAGGCAGCGAGAGCACCGGUCGUGCCGACUCCGUCGACCGGUGGGACUCGGACAAGAAACACAAGAAAGCCACGCACCACCGUGUCGUCGUCAUCGUCAUCGUCAUCUUCAUACAGCGCCGGGAGACCCGGACGCGCCGACUCCGUUGA
rnacentral:rRNA from 1 species